UAAAUAUCGUCGCCCCCACGCUGGGAUUUGAGCUCCGAAGUUGGCAGAAGUGCCCCUGGCACCGGACUCGGGCUUCUCACAAGCUGAGGAGCUGUGCCGGGAGGCUCCUUGUGCUGGUUUACAGCAAAAACUACCGACAACCCUAAUGAAAACUGGUAGAGCUGCUCGCCUUGCUGGGGGAAUUGUUUGGCCUUCAGUGCUGCCAGCGACGACAAUACUGGCACGGGGAGCAGCGAGUGAAGCAGCCAGCAGGAAGGCUAGACUCAGAUUUCCAGGAGAGACUGACUGCAGAAAGAGAGGCAGAACAGAGAGGGGCCAUGGCAGCUGGCAGGGAAUGGCUGCUGGCACAGAAGCUCCCCUCAAACCCAGGAAAGCAGCAGCAGAAAUACCCCAGGAAAGCUGUUAGAUUUCAGGGUCAAUUUACAGAAAGACAUAAUCUCAGUAAUUAAGGGAUGAUCUUGAGCCACGAUAACCAGUGAAUUCAUACAGUGCUACUGCCUACGUAGUAUUUUUCCACACAGUAAUUACUGUUCUGUAAUACUUGUGCCAGGGGUAGGGAAACCACUGCUGCAUAGCAGAGAUGCAGUGAGGAAUAUUUUAGGACUUGCCCACUCAGAAGCCCUAGGAGGACUGUACUGAACUCUCUCCAGGGCACUCACUACCACCAUCAGUGCAAGACAGACCAAUUUGCCACCAAAACCAAGACACUGGUGGUAUUCAGGCACCUUGCAAACCUCAGGCCAAAGCCCGCUGCCUGGCUGCAGGGAAUCACUGACUCAUCAUAAGAUGCCUUUUAGGAUCCAUUAAAUCCUUUAAAUAUUAAAAAAUCUCUUCCAAAUAAAUUACAAGGCCAAUAAAAACACCACCACUACACCACCAAAACACAAGCAAGAGACCAGCAUGUCAGAAGGCCUCCCAAGAAUAAAGAAUCAAAAGAGAUUUACUUAUCAGAAAUCAUCAACUACAACAGGAUGGGGGUCUGCUACAAACAUUUUUAAUGAUAUGCUUUGUCCCUUGCUCUUGAUGAGCAACGUGAGUGGCAAAUUGUCCAUGGCCUCAGGGCACAACCCAGAAUCCCAGAGUUUUUAUUAAACUAAAGACAUUUGUUUUAUUGUUUCUGUCUUGGAGCAGAUGACUGAAAUGUUUGCAGGGCGAUAAACCAAGAGGGAUGACAGCACAGCAGCAAGUAGUCUCCAUCCUGCUCAGCCUUUGGAAAAUCCUGUGGUUUUUUUUUCACUUGUAGACAUCUGUGUUUGUCAUCAGCCACUUAGAAAUUCUACUCUCAAAGUUCAAAAGUCAACCACUUCCCCUUUAAAAUUUAACUCAGUUAUAGACAAUAUUUGUGAAUAAAACAUAAGUGAAAAUAUAUUAUUCAGCCAAUGUUUGGGAAAGUGAGAAUAAAUGUGUGCCUGUUUCUAAUGUUUUUGGUUCAUGAAAAGAGAGACUUCAGCCAGUUCUCUUGUUCUUAUAGAGAACAUAAUCACAAAAUGAAAUUUUCUACUAGUGAAAGCUCAAAUAUAUAAUGGAAUUCUCUUUCCAGUUGGAAAUUUGAAGAUGUUCCUCGGCUCUGGACUAAAUCCAUAGUAUCUAGAACUGAAACCUUACAGAAAAACAUCAUCAAAACAUAUCAGGUUGUAGAGAACUCAGCAGAUACAUGACUAGCCAAGACAUGUUAAUAUUGGAAAGAAAAGAAGCUAUUCUGUUACUGAGAGAAGCAGUUCCCAAAUUAUUUAUUCAUUUUUUCUUAAUUCCUUCCAUGAAGAGCUCCUGGGCAAAGAUUUCAGGGUAAGGUUCAAGAGCAGCAGCUAUUUGUGAAUGGAAGUAUGCAGAGAUAUUCCACCAGUUUUUGCAUCUUUCACUACUUGUUACUUUCAACUGAAGAUACUAGAAAGUGUUAUUUUACUUAAAUUGUGCUGCAGUACAAAAGGUUUUUAUAUUUGAGCUACAACUAAUCAGAAGUAAACACAGCCAAGAAAAAGAGCCCUGAAGCUCCAAAACAACUCUCUACCCUAUAUUAUUGUGAUGCAAUUGAAUGCCACAAAAUGUUAUUACUUCAGCUUGCA